CUUUUCACUUUCGAACGGGUG
rnacentral:miRNA from 1 species